rnacentral:rRNA from 1 species
UACGUAGGUGGCAAGCGUUAUCCGGAUUUACUGGGUGUAAAGGGCGCGCAGGCGGCCUCGCAAGUCAGAUGUGAAAGCUCAAGGCUUAACCUUGGAAUGUCAUCUGAAACUGCGGGACUUGAGUAUCAGAGGGGAAAGUGGAAUUCCUGGUGGAGCGGUAAAAUGCGCAGAGAUCAGGAGGAACACCGGUGGCGAAGGCGACUUUCUGGCUGACAACUGACGCUGAGGCGCGAAAGCGUGGGGAGCAAACAGG